CAUAUGCUGAGUCAGUCCUGUGUCAAUGCCACUUCAGUGUUUGUUUGCAUUACUCAAGAGCAGUGUGUUGGUGGGAAGCAAAGUGGCAAGGCACAGAGCAUCAGCUGAUGCCAUGCUUCAGCUCCUCACGAAGUUUCUCUGCCUUCUGUCCUUCAUCAAAUAAAAGGCACAGUGUCCGAGACUCAUUUUUGUCAGAAAUUAAGUCUUUGUUUCAGCCAAGCACUUAGGUUCCUAAUUAAGCAUGUGAGUAAUCCUGCAGAAAUAGGACAGCUCAUAUUGUUCAAGCUCAGCUCAUGGAUAAAAAAAUGCCUGACUGAGAUGAGGCUGAGGAGGUAAAACGAAGGAACUCUGCGAAACAUUCUGAGACAGAAGGCGGUAUGUUUCCUUGCUGCUUUAUAAAAGCGAUGAUAGGAAUUUUUCCUCUCCGCUGGAGCAUCACUGAACACUCAUCAUAGUGUAUCAAUUGCAACAAGAGGCACCACGUCCCAAGAGAAUCAUCUGUCCUCGGGAGGUGGAGAACAGACCAAAGUAUUAUGGAAGA